UGAUGCGGCUGUAGCAGUGUGUUUGUCCCUUUAUGUCAUUGUAUUUUAUCGGAAUGUUGUAAUCCCAUCACAUACGAAAUCAAAAGAAGCUCAAAAGGUUUUAAUUGUGGUCCUGGUGAUGGGAGCUUAGGAGCGUACAAAGGCGAAAUAAAGCACAAUUCAUGUCAGCAUAAACAUCGAAAUUGGCGUGAGCUUUAUUUUUAACCUCCUCGGACCAGGACACAAUUCACACUCUUUAUUUCGCUUUUAUGGAUUGGCGAAUAACCAGAGUCUUGCCGCAUUACAAGUUUUAAUAUUUUAAAAGCCUCGUGUGAGUAAUGCCUGAAAGCUGUGGCUAGUAACAAGUAAGCGAUUUGAGAGCGCGCGGUUUGUAUGUACAUGCGCUAAAUUCCUUUAAGAUCGGAUGAAAUUGAAUCGAAAUUGAUCGGAGCACGUGCCAUAAAGCAAGUAAGCUGCAGGUCGAGGUGUGGCUGUGAGCAAACAAGGAAGCUCAUUUGCAUGCUUUCGAUAAACAUCGACUUCACAUCAUUGCGGUUGUUCUGGCUAUUUCACACAAUUAACAAGAAAAUUAUACCUUAUUCAUUUGCAUAAUCAUGCAAUGAAAAUAAAAAUUACAUAAACGGAUCAUCGAACUUGG